rnacentral:rRNA from 1 species
AUACGGAGGAUGCAAGCGUUAUCCGGAUUUAUUGGGUUUAAAGGGUGCGUAGGCGGAUGAUUAAGCGUGAGGAGAAAUGCCACUGCUCAACAGUGGAACUGCCUCGCGAACUGGUUGUCUUGAAUGCCCCUGCCGUGGGAGGCAUGUGUGGUGUAGCGGUGAAAUGCAUAGAGAUCACACAGAACACCGAUUGCGAAGGCAUCUCACGAAGGGGUGAUUGACGCUGAGGCACGAAAGCGUGGGGAUCAAACAGGAUUAGAUACCCUGGUAGUCCACGCAGUAAACGAUGAUAACUAACCGCUGGGUCGUAGUGAUUCAGUGGCCAAGCGAAAGCGAUAAGUUAUCCACCUGGGGAGUACGACCGCAAGGUUGAAACUCAAAGGAAUUGACGGGG